GUGGGGACCUGCCGCGGUUGAUAAAUGCAAUAAUUAAAAAUUUACGCAGUACAAUAGAACGCAUUUUGUUUACAAAAGGUCUUUUAAAUUAGGUACUGUUAUGUGACUGUUUGUUUCUCUUUGGGCCGUGCUGGCUGGCUAUCGGUUCUCUGGAUGUAGUCCCAUCCCUGUCCCACAGUUCGCACAAUCGGUAUCAACAAACUAUAACAUCUGAAGCAAAACAGACCUACACAACACUGUCCAAAACGAACUGCAAAAUCAAUAAGCAUUAAAUAGCUGGAACUCAUAGUAAAAUGUUAACAACCAUGGUGAGACGCUGACAUAAAUUAACAAUAAAAAAACACUCUUGAUCCACUUUAUUUCUCAUGAUCGGGUUCCGGUUUUGGACCCGGCGUACCCGCCCUACCUGAUCAUCAGUCCGUGUCGGCUGUCAUGUCCCCUCUCCCCAUCAAUAGAAGUUUAGCAGGACAUAUCUCUCUUUCAGUAUGUACUUUGUAUUUUCUUAAAAGUAAUAAUUGUUGGUAAAAUCUGGCAUUUGUGUUCAGCUCUUCAACAGAACAACAUAUAUAAUUUCAUGCAAGCGAAAACUUCUUUCAACUUCAACAGAGCAACAACAAAGAAAAGACGUCACUGAAAGCUAGGGUCAAUUGCCGCCGGGAACAACGUGGAAAAGAACGUUAUAUAUAUUAAAUUGAGCGAUAUAUAAAACUGUUUGUCCUAACUGACUGACUGAUUGGUAAUCAACGCACAGCCCAAACCGUAGGAGCUAGGAAGCCCUGUAGCCCUCCUUAUGUGAAGGAGGUGCAGUUUUAUGUUCUGUCCGAUAAAUUCAAUUUCAGCGAUUUGGGAAAUUCCCCUAGUCUAGUGGGUAAAUAGCGAAAAAUUGUUGUAUGAAACUUAUUUACUAUCCGAUCAUCCUCAAACUCAUUUUCGAAGAAAUUUGUUCUAAUUUAUUUUAGGGGUGUUUUGCACAUUUUUAAAAAAAUUUAUUUCUUCUUGGCGGAACUGGGGGACAUAGAUUUGGUUGGUGACGUUUCGCCCUCAAAUUCAUUUCCAAGGAUCUACAUAAAAAUCAUUCGAAACGUGUUUCACACUUUUUGAAAAAUCUAAACUUUUUCGGUGGAAUAUGCAUUUCAAAGAUUUUUUUGCUGAACUGAUAAUUUUGAGGCUGGACUGAGCAAUACAUUUUUUGUGCACGACACGAAUUUUUUCUUCUAAUGGUUAGCUU